rnacentral:rRNA from 1 species
UACGAAGGGGGCUAGCGUUGCUCGGAUUCACUGGGCGUAAAGGGUGCGCAGGCGGCCGUGUGUGUGAGGCGUGAAAGCCCGGGGCUUAACCCCGGAAUUGCACCUCAAACUACACGGCUAGAGCAUUGGAGAGGGUAGCGGAAUUCACGGUGUAGCAGUGAAAUGCGUAGAUAUCGUGAGGAACACCAGAGGCGAAGGCGGCUACCUGGACAAUUGCUGACGCUCAGGCACGAAAGCGUGGGGAGCAAAAGGG